UACGUAGGGUGCAAGCGUUGUCCGGAAUUAUUGGGCGUAAAGAGCUCGUAGGCGGUUCGUCGCGUCGGCUGUGAAAACCCGGAGCUCAACUCCGGGCCUGCAGUCGAUACGGGCGGACUCGAGUUCGGCAGGGGAGACGUGGAAUUCCGAUCGGUGGUAGCGGUGAAAAUGCGCAGAUAUCAGGAGGAACACCCGGUGGCGAAGGCGGGUCUCUGGGCCGAUACUGACGCUGAGGAGCGAAAGCGUGGGGAGCGAACAGG
rnacentral:rRNA from 1 species